rnacentral:rRNA from 1 species
CCUACGGGAGGCAGCAGUGGGGGAUAUUGCACAAUGGGGGGAACCCUGAUGCAGCGACGCCGCGUGGGUGAAGAAGCGCCUCGGCGCGUAAAGCCCUGUCAGCAGGGAAGUAAAUGACGGUACCUGAAGAAGAAGCUCCGGCUAAAUACGUGCCAGCAGCCGCGGGAAUACGUAGGGGGCAAGCGUUAUCCGGAUUUACUGGGUGUAAAGGGGGCGCAGACGGCGAUGCAAGCCAGGAGUGAAAGCCCGGGGCCCAACCCCGGGACUGCCCUUGGAACUGCGUGGCUGGAGUGCAGGAGGGGCAGGCGGAAUUCCUGGUGUAGCGGUGAAAUGCGUAGAUAUCAGGAGGAACACCGGUGGCGAAGGCAGCCUGCUGGACUGCAACUGACGUUGAGGCCCGAAAGCGUGGGGAGCAAACAGGAUUAGAUACCCCAGUAGUC